AAUGUUAAUGAUAUGUUAAUGUAUAUCACUUGUUCACAGAAAUAAAGCGAAUUGCAGUAAGAGCAGACCAAUACUUGGUAAGUAGGCUAAAGUCAUUAAACAAUAUUGAUGUUAGCCACACUUGGCCCAUUUGCAGUAACACUGGUUGAUAAAGGAUCUUUGUUAGCAGUUAACCUGUUAUUUAUUUCUUCAUGUAGCUGCUAAGUAAUGUUAACUUGUAAGUAAUGUUUCUAUUUUAUAUUUUUAAAAAACUAAAGUACAUCCACAGUUAACUCUUUUUUCAAUUGUUUCCUUUUUUAUUUUUUCCUCUUUGUUUUGUGAACAGAAUAUGCUGCUGCGGGUUUUGUUUGGUAGGGAGCAUAAGUAUGUUAUGCUGUCUGACCUAACAUUUGAUGCUGUCAUGAAAGAAGGUUAGAAUAUCAGGAUAAAACAAUAUAUCAAUUUUUACUUGUUCAAUACACCAACUUCAUUAUAAAACCAUAUUCUUACUCAACUACCUAAGUUGACAAGACAACCUAAAAGGCCAUGCCAUAUAAACUAUGAGGCAAAAACUCUGGGUAGUGGAUACUGUUAAGUCUCAUCUGGAUGUUUGAUGUGAAGUGUUUUUAUGUAAUUGUUUUCUAGUCUUUUUUAAGGUUUAAAAAUUUCUGACUUCAUAUUGAAAAAAAUCUUAACAACAAAGCCCGGUGGUGAACACAUCAUACAAGAGUAUGCAAAAACCAAAUCUCUGACAGAUGCAACCAGAAGACAGAUGAUAAACAUACUUGCGGCUGAGAUGACAGAAGCACAUGGGAACAUUACUACAAUCCAGAAAGCGGUUCAGGAUACCUUGCAUGGUGGUUAAAGACCAUUCAAAGAAAAGCUGCAAAGGAAAGAAGCGUCUCAGUUUGCAAAUCUCGCAAAAGCUGAGACAGUGACAUGUCUGCUUUCUCGCUGCUGCUAAAUCUGCUACCACCAUCAGCACAAGGGCGAAAGAGACCAGGAAAGAUGUCUGCAUCUCAAGCUGUCGAUAAACUCAUCAAAUUCCUAAAAGUAUGUUUAAAAUAUAUGUUCCAUCACCUCCAUUUUCAUGAACAGUGAGGUGAUCUAAUCUACUGUCAGAGCAUAGUCACUAAAUACUGCUGUUUAAUGUGUUGUUGUAGGCUGGAACCAGUGUACAGCAGCAUCUAGACAACAUCACCGGAAGCAGUCAGCCCUACAUUCGUGCUCAGGGACCCAUAAGAAGCAGCAUUCACGCCUUCAUUGUAAUUGACAAGCAUGCACUUCCAUGUAAAGUGGCAGGUUCACUAGGAGCCCUUGAUGAACUCUUUAAGGCCCAUUAUGUCUUUGGUACAUCAUACCGUUCAUCCCUGACCAACUUUUUCACUUUUCUGCAAACAACUAUUUACAACA